rnacentral:rRNA from 1 species
UACGGAGGAUGCAAGCGUUAUCCGGAAUUAUUGGGCGUAAAGAGUCCGUAGGUGGCUAUUCAAGUCUGCUGUCAAAGCAUGGAGCUUAACUCCAUCAAGGCAGUGGAAACUGGAAAGCUAGAGUUCGGUAGGGGUAGAGGGAAUUCCCAGUGUAGCGGUGAAAUGCGUAGAGAUUGGGAAGAACACCGGUGGCGAAAGCGCUCUGCUGGGCCGAAACUGACACUGAGGGACGAAAGCUAGGGGAGCGAAAGGG